AUACGUAGGGAGCAAGCGUUGUCCGGAAUUACUGGGCGUAAAGGGCGCGUAGGUGGGUAUUUAAGUCAGAUGUGAAAACUCCGGGCUCAACCUGGAGCCUGCAUUUGAAACUGGGUAUCUUGAGGGCAGGAGAGGAAAGUGGAAUUCCUAGUGUAGCGGUGAAAUGCGUAGAUAUUAGGAGGAACACCAGUGGCGAAGGCGACUUUCUGGACUGUACCUGACACUGAGGCGCGAAAGCGUGGGGAGC
rnacentral:rRNA from 1 species